CUUAUACUCCCUCUGUCCGAAAAUACUUGUCAUUGAAAUGGAUGUAUCUAGAUGUAUUUUAGUUCUAGACACAUCCAUUUAGAUGACAAGUAAUUCCGGACGGAGGGAGUACUUG
rfam:Triticum aestivum genome assembly, contig: Triticum_aestivum_CS42_TGACv1_scaffold_552212_6DS